rnacentral:rRNA from 1 species
CCUACGGGAGGCAGCAGUGAGGAAUAUUGGUCAAUGGACGAGAGUCUGAACCAGCCAAGUAGCGUGAAGGGUGACUGCCCUAUGGGUUGUAAACUUCUUUUAUAUGGGAAUAAAAUGUUCCACGUGUGGGAUUUUGUAUGUACCAUAUGAAUAAGGAUCGGCUAACUCCGUGCCAGCAGCCGCGGUAAUACGGAGGAUCCGAGCGUUAUCCGGAUUUAUUGGGUUUAAAGGGAGCGUAGGUGGAUUGUUAAGUCAGUUGUGAAAGUUUGCGGCUCAACCGUAAAAUUGCAGUUGAAACUGGCAGUCUUGAGUACAGUAGAGGUGGGCGGAAUUCGUGGUGUAGCGGUGAAAUGCUUAGAUAUCACGAAGAACUCCGAUUGCGAAGGCAGUUCACUGGACUGCAACUGACACUGAGGCUCGAAAGUGUGGGUAUCAAACAGGAUUAGAUACCCCUGUAGUC